rnacentral:tRNA from 1 species
CAAGACAUAGCUAAACACAGACAAAGCAUCUCACUUACACCGAGAAGGUAUCCGUGCAAACCGGAUUGUCUUGA